rnacentral:rRNA from 1 species
GACGAACGCUGGCGGCGUGCUUAACACAUGCAAGUCGAACGGAAAGGCCUGCUUGCAGGGUACUCGAGUGGCGAACGGGUGAGUAACACGUGGGUGAUCUGCCCUGCACUUCGGGAUAAGCCUGGGAAACUGGGUCUAAUACCGGAUAGGAGCCAUUUUUAGUGUGAUGGUUGGAAAGUUUUUUCGGUGUAGGAUGAGCUCGCGGCCUAUCAGCUUGUUGGUGGGGUAAUGGCCUACCAAGGCGGCGACGGGUAGCCGGCCUGAGAGGGUGGACGGCCACAGUGGGACUGAGAGACGGCCCAGACUCCUACGGGAGGCAGCAGUGGGGAAUAUUGCACAAUGGGCGCAAGCCGGAUGCAGCGACGCCGCGUGGGGGAUGACGGCCUUCGGGUUGGAAACUCCUUUCGCUAGGGACGAAGCUUUUUGUGACGGUACCUAGAGAAGAAGCACCGGCUAACUACGUG